rnacentral:lncRNA from 1 species
CUGACGAGCGUGCACGCAAAGUGUUCGAAUAAACCGAUUAGUGACGUGACUUUACCUAAAAUGACUCCAUAAUCUGAUUCAUUGUCAGAUAGAUAACAAACUGGAAUGAUUUGAGUGAUUAAUAUGAACUGCCAGUGAUUCAUUUGACAAGCGGAAGUUUCAGUAAGAAGACGAAGACCACACCAAUCUAUGAGGUAACAUUCAGAGGUUUAGAAUAAGAUUUUUAUAAAUACGUUACGUUUUUCUCUUUCAGAGCUCCUUUUUCUUUUUCAGUUCCUUUCUCGUCCUAUUCUUCAUCCUGGUUGAGGACUUUUGCUGUCCUUAUCCGCUUGGACGGGUUAGCUAAUUCCUCCUCCAUCUCUUCAGGGGUUUCUGGAAGAAGACGGUUGGUGACAGUUGACUGACAAGCAUUCGAAUCGGCGACGUGAAGCGAUUCAGUUCUCAAUGAUUCAAAUCUUUUUUCUGAAUGAUUAAUUUUACCAUUUAUAAUGCAAACCACACUGUUAUGCCACUAGGUGGACAAAAACAAGCGUCUUUUUAAGUGUGAUAGACUAUCUGUAUGAACCUGUAAAGCCGAUUUAUUAAAACACAACUAUU